AGUGAACGCUGGCGGCAGGCCUAACACAUGCAAGUCGAACGGCAGCACAGCAGUAGCAAUACUGUGGGUGGCGAGUGGCGGACGGGUGAGGAAUACAUCGGAAUCUGCCUAGUCGUGGGGGAUAACGUAGGGAAACUUACGCUAAUACCGCAUACGACCUACGGGUGAAAGCGGGGGAUCGCAAGACCUCGCGCGAUUAGAUGAGCCGAUGUCCGAUUAGCUAGUUGGCGGGGGUAAUGGCCCACCAAGGCGACGAUCGGUAGCUGGUCUGAGAGGAUGAUCAGCCACACUGGAACUGAGACACGGUCCAGACUCCUACGGGAGGCAGCAGUGGGGAAUAUUGGUCAAUGGGGGGCAACCCUGAUCCAGCAAUGCCGCGUGAGUGAAGAAGGCCCUCGGGUUGUAAAGCUCUUUGUCAGGGAAGAAAAGGUUGUGGCUAAUAUCCACAGCUGAUGACGGUACCUGAAGAAUAAGCACCGGCUAACUACGUGCCAG
rnacentral:rRNA from 1 species